rnacentral:rRNA from 1 species
AACGAACGCUGGCGGCAGGCUUAACACAUGCAAGUCGAGCGCCCCGCAAGGGGAGCGGCAGACGGGUGAGUAACGCGUGGGUAUCUACCCAUCUCUACGGAAUAACGCAUGGAAACGUGUGCUAAUACCGUAUACGUCCUUCGGGAGAAAGAUUUAUCGGAGAUGGAUGAGCCCGCGUUGGAUUAGCUAGUUGGGAGGGUAAAGGCCUACCAAGGCGACGAUCCAUAGCUGGUCUGAGAGGAUGAUCAGCCACACUGGGACUGAGACACGGCCCAGACUCCUACGGGAGGCAGCAGUGGGGAAUAUUGGACAAUGGGCGCAAGCCUGAUCCAGCCAUGCCGCGUGAGUGAUGAAGGCCCUAGGGUUGUAAAGCUCUUUCACCGGUGAAGAUAAUGACGGUAACCGGAGAAGAAGCCCCGGCUAACUUCGUGCCAGCAGCCGCAGUAAGAC